rnacentral:rRNA from 1 species
UUGUAAGUCAGAUGUGAAAUCCCUCGGCUCAACCGGGGAACUGCGUUUGAUACUGCGGACCUUGAGUGCAGGAGGGGAGAGUGGAAUUCCUGGUGGAGCGGUGAAAUGCGUAGAUAUCAGGAAGAACGCCGGAGGCGAAAGCGACUCUCUGGCCUGUUACUGACGCUGAGUGUGCGAAAGCCAAGGGAGCGAACAGGAUUAGAUACCCUGGUAGUCUUGGCUGUAAACGAUGGGCACUAAGUGGAGGGAGU